rnacentral:tRNA from 1 species
CAAUGGGUAUUUUAUUAAAAUAUUAAUUUUGGAGAUUAAAGAAAAAAUUUAUAAUUUUUCCGUUGA